UUAGAAGGGACACAGAGAGCAAGAAACAAGAUAAAGCAUUCCCCCCUUUGCCUUUAAAAUGAUGUGGUUAAGAAAACAAGAAGAGCUUAUUCUUGCAUAUAGGAAGAGGCAACAGGAAGUGUGAAUGAGGAGCACGAAUGUGGAAAGUAAAGCACUUUACAAAGGAAGGCAGCUGUGAAUUUUCCAUUUGCAGUGUUUGUUUAUUUUGGCUCCUGUCAUCACUGCCAUGAUUGCCCCGGGAAGAAUUCCCCAGUGGAAACAUCAACAAGGUAGCUCCAAUCUCUGGGUGAGAUACAAGACAGAAGGAAGAGAUCUCCUCAUGUUUGCUUACUCUUUGACCUCUGGAUUUCCUAGAGAGUUCAGCAAACACCCUUCUAUGGUCCUACGACAGACAGUGGGAAUGAAAGGCUGCUGUUGGAUCUGUUCUUGC
rnacentral:lncRNA from 1 species